rnacentral:rRNA from 1 species
UGGAGAGUUUGAUCCUGGCUCAGGACGAACGCUGGCGGCGUGCCUAAUACAUGCAAGUAGAACGCACAGUUUAUACCGUAGCUUGCUACACCAUAAACUGUGAGUUGCGAACGGGUGAGUAACGCGUAGGUAACCUGCCUGGUAGCGGGGGAUAACUAUUGGAAACGAUAGCUAAUACCGCAUAAUAUUGAUUAUUGCAUGAUAAUURAUUGAAAGGUGCAUUGCAYCACUACCAGAUGGACCUGCGUUGUAUUAGCUAGUAGGUGAGGUAACGGCUCACCUAGGCGACGAUACAUAGCCGACCUGAGAGGGUGAUCGGCCACACUGGGACUGAGACACGGCCCAGACUCCUACGGGAGGCAGCAGUAGGGAAUCUUCGGCAAUGGACGAAAGUCUGACCGAGCAACGCCGCGUGAGUGAAGAAGGUUUUCGGAUCGUAAAGCUCUGUUGUAAGAGAAGAACGGGUGUGAGAGUGGAAAGUUCACACUGUGACGGUAUCUUACCAGAAAGGGACGGCUAACUACGUGCCAGCAGCCGCGGUA